AUUUUCUCUCUCUUCACUUAUCCUUCGCCAAAACCAGCUUUAUAUCUCUUUGUACUUCUCCGCAGCAGAAAAAUUUCCCUUCUUCGAACUCCACCCUUAAGUUUAUCGAUAUCCAAAUCUCGUCUAUACAUCUCUAUCUUCCAUUACCCUUUUUAAUUUUCUCUCGCAGCUUCUUUCACAUUCGAUCCAAAUCUCUAUCUUUCUCUCGAUUUUUUUCCUCAAUCAAAAUCAUUGAGGAUAGAGAUUUUUUUCAAUUGAAUCACGAAUAAACUAGGGUAUAGAUUCUUAUCAAUUGAUUCAUGAAGAAACUAGGGUAUCGAUUCUUCUCAAUUGAGUCAUGAAGAAAUUUAGGGUUAGGGUGAGAUUUAUUUUCCAACAAGAUUACUCGUUACAACUAUUUUUCUCUGAUUCAUAAGAAUAGUUUACUGUAAUACUCCGUUUAUUGUUGUUUUUGUUCUUCAAUUUAUGUUUUUAUUUUUUAUUUUUUUACGAUGAUUAUGAGUUUGAAUCUGAUUUUUGGUUUGCUAUUGAAGUCAGAUUUACUCCUAUGGGUACUGAGAUUAUUAUUUGAAUCUACCCGUACUCAAGAUUUGCUUCGAUAUGUAAUUUCUCUCUCAGGGUGUAUUUUGUUUUAAGAUUUUGAGGAUUUUUGUCAUUGGAUUUGAUGAUUUUCCGGGUUGUUGGUAUAGUUUGAGGCGCGGAUUGUUGUUUCGAAUCUGCAUAAGAAUACAAAGAAAUUGUUUAUGAGAUGAUUAAGGACAUGUACAAUCAUGUGACUGAUGGUUCUUGACUGAAGGCUCCUCUUAUUUCCAAUGAUUUUGAGAUAAUCAUGAAGUUAACCAUCCUUACCUAGUGAUCUACUCCCGAAGUGCAGCACAAAGGAAUACGAUUGAUGGAGGCAAAUAUUGUGGUCUUUUUCAUUACUCGGUGGAGGAUCCAUUUUGAAGAGGAUGAGAUAUACAAAGUAUGUAGUGAGAUUGGCAGGCCAUCUCAGAGGGAGGUGGACAGACAUGAGCAUGUUCUCCUAGCCAAAAAAUUCGGUGUCUUGAAGUUAAAUAUUGUUCUAGUAGUAUGAGGAUAGUACUGGAUAUCUAUGAUUGUGAAGGUUAAGAUUCUAAUUGACCCUUUAAACUAGUGUUGAAUUUAAAACUAACCCAAGCGAAUUUCAUGAUAACCAGGAAAUCUCUCAACUUGGUUGAGUACCUGCUACAAGAAAACAGUUCAGAUUGUAAUGUUGUAACGGAACUAGGAUUUCCUCGUACUAUGAGAAAUACCCCAUUCAAUGGAAAUAAUCCAGUUCAGGUGCAAUUAUGUUAGUUCGUAAUUACUUAUGAACCUUAGUAGCUAUUCGUUAUGUCAUAUGAUUGAUGUAACCAAGGAGAGAUGAAAUACAAAGAGACUAUAAUGAGAACUGCAAUCGAGUUCCUAUUACAUGACAGCUAACAUCAAGGAGAAUACAAGGUGGCAAUACUGGAAAUGCUUGUGCUGCUCACCUGGGUAUAAUCCACAACGAAAGAUCUCGUUUACUUGAAAGAUAAGCAUUCCUUAACGUUACUUAUACCCCCAUCUUAGUUUGAAUUACUAAGACCUUAAUCUGGUAUACUUCUUGUGAGCGAAACCAUACAAAGUUAUUUUUGAUCUGUGACAUAUAAAGUUCGAUACUAAUAAAUGAGCUCACUUAUAAUCUUCUUCUUCUUCCACUUGUAGCUCCCCUGAUCACAUAUGAUUAAUAGUUUAUAUUGUGCAAGUAUCUUCUUCUUACCCUUUAUCUGCCUUCGAUUUCUCUGAAGCUUUUGUUUUGUUGCAAUCUUCUCCUAUCGUAGUUAUGGUUGUGCGAUAAUUUUCCUGCUGUUUGUCUCAGUUCCCUGUUUUCGGUUCUGUCCUGUUUUAGAGUCCUACAGUAAAAGAAGGUUUUGUUCUUCAUCGUUAUUUGAUGUUUUAUCUCUGCAUCUAUGGUAUUAUUGAUUUCAUGUUGAAUAAGCACUAAGAUAAUCCGUCCCUUAAGCAGGUUGCAUUCAUCAGAAGUUCUGCAACUGGUUCUAAGGUGAUGGCCUCCGCAUCUCAAUUGGUUAAGUUAUGUUAUAGCUUUACCUUGGAAUUAUGUUAAGUUUUUUUAUAUUUUUUGAGCCUUCUCAUUUGGUAUGUGACUGUGUAGCAUCCUGUCUCUAUGGAACUUGGUGGUAAAAUUCCAAUUGUAGGUUUUUGAAGUUACAGAUCUUGAUAAAGCUGCCGAGAUGACUAUUUUUGGUUGCUUUUGGACAAAUGGCCAAAUCUAUAGUGCAACACCUCCCCUUCUACUGCAUGGCCUGCAGUGGUGUACUAAGAUUCGUCAUGGAAAGUGGUAACAAGGGUUGUUAGGUUCUCUUGAUAUCCUGGUUACUUUGGAGCUUACACCUUAGUGAGAGGCAUGAUAGUCUCAAAACAUUUUUUAUAUGUUUCUUUUGGUUUGGCAUCGGCUCUGCAGUUUUAACAUUUCAAUUCUUGCCUGUCACACAUUGUCGGAACAUCGUCUAUUGGUUUAUCAAUUAGCUUAGCAUGUUGUUGUUUGAACUUACUAGCUAGCUUGGAUAUAUAUUGUUUUGAACUCAAAAUUUCCUCCUUUUUUGUGUAAUUUUAAACCCAAUGGAUUAAAUGAAUGAAUGUUAAAAUUCUCAGUUUGAUUAUAA